UAAAAAUUAAAUGAUCUUUCUUCAUAUUAAGGGUGAGAACGGGGCAGUCUUGAAAAAUACGGUGGACAGGACGAGGAGAGGCAAAAAGAAAAAGAAUUUCUCGUCUUUUCGUGUUCCAAGAUCGACCCCGAACAAUGUGAAACAAAAAACUUUUUAGGGACGACCGUUCUCGCCCCUAGUUCACGUACAUGAUUAUAGAUUUACAGGUAAAAAUACCUUAUUGUGAUACUUUAAAUUUAUUCAAAAUAUAUUAUAUUUGUCAGUCAAUAAUAAAACAAAUUUUCCAAUAAAAAUACCUUAUUUUUCAAAUAAUCUGGAUUUGUACCGAAAGAAUUAACAAGAGCACUUCUUUCCUGUUGCAAUGAAAUAUAAAUUAAGAAAGAUAUAAAUAUGUACUGUGAAAGAAUUUAUAAUGAGCCUGUUAUCGAUAUAUUAGGUCCAGUCCAUUAGGUACCUAACUUAAUUAAGUUUAAGGAGUUUUCCUAACAUUUUGCCCCUAUGUAGCUCCGUUCAUGUGUCAUGUGUGUACCCAUUACUUUUAAUUAUAUAUUCAGAAAUGUCACAUGCUCAUAGAAAUGCACAUGCAUAUGAUGUCUUAAUCUUCACUCCAAAACGAGGGUAGAAUUUAUCAAAACAAUUAAGAUUGCUUUCAAAGAUUUCGAGUAUAAUAUAUUGGACUAAGAAUGAAUGAAAAUAAGAAUGAAAUCUUUUUCUCAACUACGAGAGAUAAGAAUGAAUUACUCACCCAUCUUGGUUUCAAAGAAGGAAUCUUCUCAACAAAAUACUUAGGAUUACCUCUGUUCCCUAUAAUCUUAUACGACAAAGAUUGUGCCUCCCUUAUCAAUAAGAUAAACGGUAUGGUAGAAGGGAUGGAAAACCGACUCCUAUCCCAUGUCAGGAGAAUAUACAACUGUUCCAUUGGGGUAUCAUGGGAGUACUUAACUAUUGGAACAUAUAUAGCUUAUAGAGUACCAAUAGAAACACUCAAAUUAAAGAACUUCAAUCCAUCUCAUAUAGACAUAUAUGGAAUGGAAAGCUGAACUUCACUUGGGUACAGAUGGCUCUCCCAAAGAAGGAGGGGGGAUUGGGUUUAAGGUGCUUUAUAGAAUCUGCCAAAGAAGCCAUAAUCACAAGGGUAGGUCGAAUCUGAAAAGGCCGGGACUCAAUCUGGGUUGAAUGGAUGGGAAAACGAUACGUGAGGUCCAAGCCAUUAAGGGAAAUAGGAAAACAUCCAAAUACCGAUUCAACCCUAUGGGCUGAAAUACUAGACAACAAACCUAUAAUAGAAAAGAUUAUUAGGUGUGGUGAAAACUAUAAUUUAGAAUGGAUUGUAGAGGGAUUGGGAAUAACAUUUAAGAACACAUGGAACACAUUAAGAAACAAAGAAGAGAUAGAUCACCUAUAGGAGGGGGUAUGGAUAACUACUAUACAAAAAAUCUGCAAUACAAUGCGAAGGACUAGAUGGGGUAAAAUCUCCAUGAAAACAAAUUGGACAAGUAGAAUGCAUGGAGAAGAUACCGAAUGCAUAUUAUUUGACGGUCCAUGGGAAGCACAGCAACACGACUUUUAUUAAUGUAAAUUUUCAUCAGACACUUGGAAAUAUAUUAGAAAUAGAAAGGAUGGCAUCAUAUUUGAGAAGCACAAUCCCUAGAACAGGCAAUGAUCGAGACUAAUGCAAGAACUACAAAAUCAUGUUGAGGUCUUACUUGAGUUUUAAUUGCAGCAACAACAUAGGCUAAAUGGACAGAAAGAAACAAAAGACGACAUAAAUCAAGGUUUAUUAGAGCGCAAGUAAGUAAAAGGAUAGUAGAAGACUAGAAGAUGUGAUCAGAUAUUUUCCACCUCAAAAAUACAAAAUAAAAGGGACAACUAAUGAAGAAAGAUUAGCGGAUAUCUGGUUAAACUACACCCAACAUCAAGUAACAGAUGGGGCUCAGACGACGGGCCAAAGCGACACCUAGAAGUUAUUAUAUAAUUUUUAACAUUGUAUUCUAAGUAAGUAGGAAUCUGUAUUAAAUAAAGUAAAAAAUAUCUCAAAAGAAAACUAAAUAGAAUUCUGGUCCAGAUAAACAAAUGGAAAAUGGAAUGGGAUGCCUCAAAAUUAUCCAUCGCCAUAGGGGUUCAAUUCCAAAAUUGAACUCCUUUUGCACCUAAGAACCAACGGUAUGGCAACGGUACUUACGAAUAAUGGAAGGGUUUUCCCUAGGGAGAAAAGGAUGUCAAGAACACAUCAGAGUUUUUCACCUCAUUGUCUAGCUUAGGCUUACUAUGUAGAAACUAAAAGUCAGUCAUGUUGGUACUGGGGCCCGUCGAAUCGGGCUCCGGACCGAACAGGCCUGUUAGGCCCAUUAGGCCCUAGGGCAGGAGUUAUAAAUACCUCCCAUGGUGCAACAGGGAGGGGGAUGAUUACCUGAAACAGUAAUACUAGAUAGUUGUGUAUGUGAGAACCCAAGGGCAAAUCCACACAUCAUCAGUGGUGAACUUGACGUGAAACGAACACGCAACUGUUGAGAGGUUGGUCGUAGGAAGCGUGUUCCAUAUAGGGGAAAGCUCAAGGCACCCCGGGCAGAAAGUGGCUCGCGAUUAGGAGCUAAGCCCGACCACCACAAGGGUAGAGCACCCGCAGGAGGAAGGAGAAGACUCAGACAGAUCUGAGCCACACUUUUCGUACAAAUGGCAGAGCGCAGCCUGGGCACUCGAGACCCAGGAGAUGGCAUGGCGGGCGAAAAGGGAAGAAGCGGACAGGGUGGCCCGACGUAAGGAGAGGGCCGACGAUGAGGAGACGGCCCGGUGCUUGGAGAGGGCCGACGAUGAAGAGGCGGCCCAGCGUAAGGAGGAGAGGAAGCAGAUACGGGAGAAGCGGGACCACUCCCGGACCCCCAUGGAAAGAAGGGAACGUCGCCGGAGGAUGCACUCGGAAAAUGCGAAGCUCUCGGCGAUGGUCUCCGCCCUGCAAAACAGCCAACGACAGCUGCAAGAACAACUCCUCUAGCUAACCGCCGACCGGCGAGCGCUGGAGUCGGAUGGAGCCGGGGGAGGCGCAGUAGUGGGGACCCCGCAAGUGGAGCGCUGAUUGUGAUACCCGGAACCGGAAGCAGAGAAGCCCUGGCACAGCACCUGUUGGAGGAUGAGUACCCCGUUGGUUGGAGGACCACGAAGAUCCCCGCGUACAAGGGGGAUACCAACCCGAAUGAUCACUUGCACUCCUUCAAAACGAACAUGGAGGACAGAACCAAACGGAAGGACAUCUGUGUCGGAUGUUCCGAAGAGCGCUCGCGGGCGACGCAGUGGCAUGGUACAGAACGCUCCGCGCGGCCUCGGUCCAUACCUUCGAAGACCUGGAAAGAAUCUUCUUAGCGGCCUUCGGCUAUAAGCGAAGGAGACCGAAGACUGAGGCCACCCUCAGUGUAGUAGUGCAGGGGGACUUUGAGAGCACCCGAGCGUACAUGGACAGCUUCGCGGGUGAAGUGCAGAAAACGGAGGGACUAACAGAAAAGGUAAUCUUGUACGCCCUCACCAACAGCCUGAGGCCCACGUUCUUCGUAGGAGACCUCGUCCGGAAGCCGCCGAUGACGUUCGCGGAGGCCAUGGAAAGGUCCCACGGAGAGGCCAACGUGGAGAAAUACCUGGGGCAAGAACACAAGAGUUCAACAAGCACCAACAGAAAACAAGGGGGACGCAGCAGGGGCCCCAGCAGCAGCAGCCGAAGGCUCAGCCAGCCCCAGUGGCGGCCGCGUGCAGAACACCAGCCGCCGCCAGCGGGAACCAUCGAGAGGCGGGACCGACCCCAGCAGCGAACCAGAGGCAAGUCUUCCUCACCCAGGGAGGAGUCAGAACCCUCCCGCCAGCGCGGCCCAUGAGAAAGGACUCGGCCGCGUACAGAGACGAAGGCAGGUUCUGCGAGUACCACCAGGACAAGAGCCACACAACCGAUGAGUGUCUGAACCUGGCCAAGGUGUUAGGCAAGCUGAGCGCGGUGCCCGAAGCACCCCCAGCCCCACCAGUCAGGAGAUCCGCGGUCAUCCCAACGGGACACCGGGUGCCCAAGCAGGAGCCAGCGGAGGAACCAGUCAGGGACAUCCUGACAAUAGCAGGAGGUGGCUUAUCACGAGGCACAGACCCGUGGGAAGGACGUCGGUACGCCACAGACGUCGACCGAGCGGCCGAAGGGAAGCGCCUGCGCCUGGGGACGGACAUCACGUUCACAGAAGCGGAUAUGAAGGACGUCGCCACCCACCACGACGACUCCCUGAUGGUGACCCCCAUUUUCCAAAAGGGGAACAAAGAUAGCGUACGGCUGCACAUAGUACUUAUCGAUACCGGAGCAUCGGUGGAAAUCCUAUACUGGAACGCUUUCGUGACCUAAACCUCGCUCGCGCGGAUCUACUCCCGAGCAGGGCGCCAAUCAGAGGAUUCGGCCAGGUGGAGGUUCUGGUGGCGAGCGUCAUAGCGAUCCCGGUGACGCUAGGCCGACACGCACAGGAGAAAACGGUGGAGGUAAACUUCACCUUGAGCUACAACGCCAUCCUGAGACGAACAACCCUACACGCUUUCCAGGCAGUGACGUCGUCCCUCCACCAGUGCAUGAAGUUCCCGACGAACGUGGGCAUGUGCAAAUUAAAGGGAUCCCAAAAAAAGGCCCGCGAAUGUUACUUCAACUCGAUAGGGGAGAUAAUGACCUCCGGGGAAGGGCUGCCACACACGCUCCGAGAGGACCCCCCGAAGCCUGAGCCGGCGUCUUCUACAGUGCUGGUACCCCUCGCUUGAAGCGAGGUGCGCGUAGGAAAGAACCUCCCGAAGGAAUUUCAAGAAGAACCUGGAGGGCCUCCUCAGAAGGAACGAGGACCUAUUCGCGACCGAGCUGGGAGAACUAGAGGGGGUGGCCCGGGCGACAGCAGAGCAAAAGCUGGUGGUCGCCCCGGGAGCCCGAGUGGUCCGACAAAAGCUACGACCACUGAGGGGCAAAAAAAGGGACGCCGCGGAAACCGAAGUGGCGAAGCUCCAAGAUGUAGGCUUUAUAUGCCCAGUCCGGUACCCAGAAUGGCUGUCCAACGUUGUAAUGGUCAGUAAGGCUGACGCCGGCUGGCACAUGUGUGUUGACUUUACGAACCUCAACAAAGCGUGCCCCAAGGACGGCUACCCCCUGCCAUUGGUCUACAAACUAGUGGACCAGAGCUCAGGCUGCAAGAUGCUCAGCUUCAUGGACGCACACUCGGGGUACUACCAGGUCCCCAUGGUCCGGGAAGACGAAGAGAAGACGUCGUUCAUCACCGACUCGGGAACUUUCUGCUUCAAGGUGAUGCCUUUCGGGCUACGGAACGCGGGGGCCACAUUUUAGCAGCUCAUGGACAAGGUCUUCGAGGAACAGAUCGGCAGAAACGUGGAGGUGUACGUCGACGACAUACUCGUUUGGUCGAAGAAAGUGGAGACACAACUCGCCGACCUAGAGGAGACGUUCCACAGCAUCAGGAGGGCAGGCCUGAAGCUGAAAGCAAAGAAGUGAGCAUUCGGGGUGAACGAGGGCCAUUUCCUAGGAUUCAGGAUCACCCCAGAGGGCAUUAAGCCCAGAAAGGAAAAGGUGGAGGCAGUCAUGGAGAUGACCCCACCGCGGACCAUAAAGGAGGUCCAGAAGCUGAACGGAAGGGUAGCGGCCCUUAGCAGGUUCCUGUCAAGAGUUGCGGACCGGUUACGCCCAUUCUUCCAGCUGCUAAAGUCGCCAGGCCCCGAGAGUAGUUUGGACGGAGGAGUGCGAGGCUCGCACACCUGCCAACGCUACGACCGCCCCUUCGCGGCGAGCCGCUCACAAUGUAGGUCACCACCUCGGAGGCGGCCGUCAGCGCGGUUCUCCUAUCAGAGGCAGAUGGGGUACAAAGGUCGGUUUACUAUUACUCCCGGUCGCUGCAGGGGGCAGAGGAAAGAUACCUAGACAUCGAGAAACUGGCCCUAGCAGUGGUGUCGGCAGUCCGCAGAUUGAGACCAUAUUUUCACGCCCACACGAUAACCAUCCUGAUGGCACACCCCCUACUCCAGCUCCUACAGAGGCCAGACGUCUCGGGACGAUUCACGAAGUGAUCCAUCGAACUUAGCGAGUUCCACAUAGAAAUCGUCCCGGCCAGGGCGAUAAAGGGCAGGUUGUGGCCAGGCAGGGCUACUACUGGCCCGAGUCAAUAAAGGACUCCGAGGCGAUAAUGGAGAGGUGCGACGAGUGCCAUAGACACUCAAAUGUCCAGAGGCGGCCCUCCACCAUGAUAAAGGCAGUGACAACACCCGUCCCCUUCGUGCGAUGGGGCAUCGACAUCGUCGGCCCUUUCCCCCCAGCAUCACAGGGAAAGAAGUUCCUCUUCGUGGUAGUAGACUACUUCACCAAGUGGGCGGAGGCCACGAACGCGAUCACGGAGCAGAUUGUAGUGAACUUCGUGUUUAGGAGCAUCAUUUGCCGGUUCAGAAUCUCGAUCCAGAUAGUAACGGAUAACAGGACGCAGUUCCCAGAGAAGAAACUAAGGGAGUUCUGUAAGGAGAGCGGGAUCAAACUGAGCUUCGGCCUGGUCUACCACCCGCAGGUAAACAGACAAGUGGAGGUGACUAACCGCACGAUCGUGUCCAUACUGAAAAGAAAGGUGGGGGAGCACCCGGGGACAUGGGCGGACAAAAUCCCAGAGACCAUGUGGGACUACCGAACAACGAUCUGGAUGCUAACGUGGUAGACGCCGUUCACACUCGCCUUCGGAAUAGACAGUAGCCCCCGCGGAGCUGAUAUGGCCAAUGGCCAGGAUAGAACAGUUCCAGCUGGGGACAAAUGACAAGGCUCUCUUCCUAGCAGGGGAGGACGUGGAGGAUAAAAGGGAGGAAUCCACCGUCAGGGACCUCGCGUAUAAGCGAAGAGUAGCCAAAUACCACAACGAGAGAGUGGUAGAGAAGAAUCUGGCACCGGGUGACCUAGUCUUGAGAAAAUCCAGAGUAACGAGCAUGGAUCAAACGAAGGGGAAGCUGUCACCAAGAUGGGAGAGCCCGUACGUGAUCAUGGAUGAGGUCCUACCCGGUAUCUUUUGCCUAGGGUACGAAGACGGGCAGCUCAUAGAAAGAACUUAGCACGCGGACAACCUCGAAAAAUACAAGCGGUACGGCCGCGCGGGCCGGCGAAGCGAAGUGGGCAGGAAACGGAUAAAACAAGUGCCUUUAUAUUUUUUUUUUCUACCCCAAUGAUUUUGCCGCGGAAAAGGAACGGCUGGAAAACGCAAUAGCAUACGAGUACUAAGCAGAGAAAAGUAAGAGUAUGAUCUUGCAAGACGCCCGGUAGGCCGCGUGACAUACCAACCCCCCCCGGGGCGUCCCGAGCAAGGCAGAAAAAAAUGAGAGACGUAGGGGGCUGCCGGGAAAGGCCGGCCGAGCGCACCUAAGACCGAUAGGCCAAGAAAGGGCCCGCGUCCGGCACAGGUAGUCCCGAAACAAUAGAAUAAAUGCAUAAGCAAUAUAUUAAAAAAAGGAAAAAAGCAAAGUAUUUUAUGUUACAGGAAAAAAGGAAAAGGAUUAAAGGCAGCAAAAAGAACACGGAGAUCACGACGGGGUAUCGGCGAGAUCGGCACCCAAGUCCUCUUCUUCACUAUCGCCAACAUAAGUACAGGGUUGCUCAAUAGGUUGUCUGGCCCCAUCAGCAGCUUGCCAGCGCUCCCACACCGACGGGCUCCGGAGCACAACGACAAAGGCGAGUUCGGGGCAGGCUAAGCUGCACAUGGCGCGACAGUGCUCGUAGCCUUUCUAGAAGCCCGCGCGCUUCUCAACCGCCAUCUGGCCCGCAACCUCGGCCUAGUAGUCGGAGAACUUGGCUUGGAACCUAGCCGACAAACUCGACACGGCCCCGACAUGGUCCUCAGCAAGCUUAUUGGCACGUGCGGUCACGAGGUCGAAAGCCUCCUAAGAUUCGGCGACGCGGUCCUCAACCUACGAAAGACGGCACUCGUGGCUCACUGCCUGCUUGUCAGCUUCGGCAAGGGCUGCCUCCAGGGCAAGCUUCUUGCCGGACACCUUCUCCAGCUGAAUCCGAUGCUUCUCCGUAGCCUCAGAGGCCCCCGACACAGCCUGGUUCCGCGCAGCCACGACGGCAGAGACCUCGGCAGAAAGACAGGUCAUACGCUCCUCGAGCCGAUGUAGCUCCUCCUUCAAGUCUAGACCCCGCUGAUGACGAACGUAAGCGAGAAAGGCCCCGCGGAGGCUAUCGACGUACAGAUCCGCGUCAAGCGCUGAGACAUCGUGCGCAUAAAGAGACUUGUACUCGGUCUCAUCCUAUAUGAACGGCUGCAGCAGAUUGAAGCCCUUCAGGAGCAUCCCCACUAUUUAUGGGAUAGCAGUGGAGGGGUCGGCAAGGGAAGGCUCCGCGGGAUACUUGCCGGCAAGAAAAGCAUAGUCCAGGGCCACGCCGAACGCCUACCGGUCCAGCAUCCCUCCCUCCAGAGCAUACUUAGGCCCAGUGAGACCGCAUCGGGACCCCUCCCCAAUCUCGGUCCUCCGGGGGACAUCAGAAGAGAGGCCGUGCACCUGCGAGACCGCAGAGGCACGCCUAGCCGAGCGUACGUUAACCAGGGGAGUGUUGGCCAAGUUGUCACCACCGGAACUCCCGAGACUCAACUCCGGAGAAAGAGAGGGGGUGUCCUUCAGAAUGAUCCAGGACGUUGCCUUCUUCUUCUUCUUACGAGGAGGCGAAGAGUCCCCCCCGUCACAGCUACGAGCGUUAGCGGGCCGGAGGUGUUCAUCAAUGGUCCAGCCUGCCCCAAUACGGCUGGGCUUCACAGGGCGACAUUCGAAGAGCCGGGUGAGCAGGCCAUGCGCCCCAAGUUCGGCCGUGGUCAGACACGAAGAGGGAACAAUGCCAGUAAGGGUCCUCAGAGUAUCUAGCGGGGUCCAACUCUCAGGGGGCUCAACAAGAGGCCCAAGACAGGACAACUUCACAAAGAAGAACUGGCCGCACCAGCCAUGAGCGCGAUCGGGCAGGGCUUCGAAAAGAGUCUUCCGGGGGGCUCCACGAUUCCAAAACGCGAUUCCGAUCAGUCGUCAUCGGAUACAUAUGAAACCAGUUGAAAAAUAAGGGCACGGUGGGCUCGAUGUUGCAGGCAGUACAGAGAGAGGAAAAGGUGACAAUGUGCUCCACGGCGCCGGGUGGGAACUGCGAAAGAGACACCCGACAGUGAUUGAGGAUGGCCUAAAGGAGCGCGGAAAACGGCAAAGUCAAACCAAUCUCGGCAUAAGGAAUGUAAACCGCAAUGUGUCCAGGAGGGGGGUGCGAGGCAACAAAGUCCUCAGACAUCCGGUACUUAGCAGCAUCCUUAUACCUGUACAAUAUCUUGAGAGCCUUCGCACAGGCUGACGAUUAAGCUUUUGAAAGCGGAUUCUUAGGAUUAGGCUACAGAAUGAAUGUAUGAUGGAUGAUGUCGUCGACCAGAAUGUCAGGGGAAGCAUGAGAAGAAGACAUGACAACCCUACAAGGAAGUCGCUGAGUUUAGGAAGAGCGGGAAAGAGUGGGAGUAAAAUAGGAAGGUAACUGAAGUAGAAGGAAGCAGUAAUAUUUAUAAAAGGGGGGGCACCGAAAACGAAGAGUCGCGAAUACCUGACCGCCUCAGAGGUCGGAGGCCCAGAUAAACAACCCAAUAAGGCACAACGGGGCCGGAAGCCCAACAUAUCAGGAAGCGAAUCACGAGGUCGGCGGACGGGGGUCGAGCCCCACCGGGGCAAAGCCCUGAGGGGGGACUCGACACGACCAGCGGAGGCCCGCAGGGCCGGCGAGGCGUCACCCGGAGGCCGUAGGGCACUGAGGGCCCAGGAAAAGGAUCAACGGACGAACGAAGCUCGAGCAGGACUUGAGCCAGAUCAACGGCAGGCGGUGAAGGUAAACCAAAGGCACAAACUGAAGCACGAAAGAAAAAGAGACCUUCAAAAUUUAAAGGGACGCAAGGCUUUAAAGUAGUAUUAAGUGCUAAAUUUCUAUUACAAGUCCGAGAGCGCUAUAAAAUUAAAGCAAAAGCCACAAGAUGCCCUAAGCUAUAAAACAGGAUAAAAAGCUAAACGUGCUCUAAAGAAAAAAGCAAAACGACGCCGGAAAGCAAGUCGGGGGAACCACACGACUUCCCUUCGAACACUACCAAAGGAGGAGGUAUCCAAACGGCGCACCUGUAGGGCCAAACAGACACAUGACCCAUAAGAACCGGGCCGAAGCAGCCCCCGCACCCGACGCGAACGGAGGCCUAGCGGCCCAACUUUGGCGGCCCCUACAGGAAGUGCCGCAAGUCAGUAGCAGGGAGGGACGAGGACCCACUUGAACCUCGACGAUCGUGAGAGCGCCGACGACGACCUCCACUAGCACCAGGGGCAGCAGUGGCCGAGCUGUGCAAAGAGCAGUAGAAACUUGACGUGGCAGCAGCAGCAGCGGAAGAGACCAGGGUUCCAGACGAAGAUGGAGCGUCGGCUUGACGAAGCUGUGCGAGGUGGCGGUGGAUGUCAAUCAUGACAGAAUUAAGUCGCUGGCUCUCCGACACAGCAACAGAGUGGAAGGCGCCAGCAGGCAGCAGCAAGCACUCAGUCUAGGCGGAGUGCUGGAGCUUCACCUCGCGACCAAACUCCUCCAGAAGGUAUUGGACGACAUCGAUUUUGUUUUUCUGGUCACCAAAAGAAGAGGAGGGGGAAUACUUAUAGACACGUGAGGAGGGAAGGCGUGGUACACGAGACGCCAUAAAGGAAGUUAGGUGAGCGGCCCUUUUGGCCCCUCGGCCCGGGGGGGAGUACUGUUGGUAUCGGUACCCGUCGAAUCGAGCCUCGGACCGAACAGGUCUGUUAGGUCCAUCAAGCCCUAGGGCAGGAGUUAUAAAUACCUUCCAUGGUGCAACAGGGAGGGAGAUCGAUUGCCUGAAGCACUUAAUCUACUACCAAGUGGCUCGCGGGGUUGCGAGAUGAGCCGGAGGCUUUGGAGUCCACGACGCGCGCUCUACGUCAAAUACCUGCAGAAGAGGAAGGGAAUCGACGACUCAGAUGUGGGAGUCGUCAACUCGGGCUCCUUAGUUUGCUCUGGUGUGGAGUGUGUCAAGAGUAGAUGACCUGAGAAUGAGGACCCCCCAAGGGCCCCUUUUAUAGGGUCCUUGGGGCGUUUCUCAUUCAAUGUCCUUGGGACCCACUUCAUUAUGGAGUCCAUUGAUGGUGCCAUAAUGACGCGGGCCAAGUCAACUAACGCCUGGGAGUCAACGACUCAGGUAUGGGAGUCGUCGAUUCAGGAUGGAGUCAUCGAUUCCCCAAGAGCCAGGUUGGCAGUCUACCAGAACUGGCCAACUUGGCCUGGAAUCGAUGGCUCACCUCUGGAAUCGGCGACUUGGUAGUCCCAAUCGUCGAUACCCAGUGUUGACUUGAGUACUUGACGUAGACACUUGCCCGCAACCGUGGAGCUCUCCGGGGGUCCGGCAUAAAGCGACGGAACCCUAGUCUUUGUUGAAGGACGUUGCUGAGAGUGACUGACGUAAUCAGGCAUGUCUCACCAAAAGGUGUGGGGUAAACCGCUUGUGGUAUUAUCUUUUCUGUUUUAAAAUUAAUAAAUUUGCCAAUAUAGUUUUAUCUCAAAAAAAAGAGUUGGUUGGUCUCCAUCCGGUCAUCUCAAUCCGAGAUGGAACUGGUAUGACUAGGGCUCUUAAGGAAAAUGGGUAGAUCAACUAAACAUUAUCAGAUGAACUUUCCUAUCACGAAUCACCUUAUAACGAGGCGGGCUCGUUGGCUCACGCCAACGACCGGACUAAUAUAUCAGCCUUACAUGUUCAACAUUGAACAAUAUCUUUUUGUUUAACAUUAUUUAUGCAAUGAAUUUUAAGAUGUGAAAUAUAUUUAUAAGAUAGUCAAACAUAAGUCUGUAAAUGGUAUAUUGAAAUCUGUAUUUGAAUCCGCAUUCGAAUUCAAAUAUGACUAUCUAGAUUUGGAUUUGGAUUUGGAUUUUUGGAUUCUGGAUUCGGAUACCUAAAUUGAUAUCCGGAUUUUAUUCAAACGGAUUCGGAUAUCCGAAAAAUCCUUCGUUAAAAUCCAAAUUCGUUUAUGAAUUUCGGAUUCGGAUAUCCGGAUAUCCGAAUAAAUAUAAAAUAACUUCCGAUUAUCUGGAUUAUCCGGAUUUUAGCGUGAUUAAUUGACUAUUAAUUAACUUCAUUAAUGGUGAUUUUAUAUUUUUAUAAUUUUAUUUUAAGAUUUUUAUAAAAAGUUAUCCGAAUUCGGAUUAUCCGGAUUCAGAUUCGGAUUCAGAUUUUUAUAUCCGGAUUUUAUUCGGUCGAAUUCGGAUAUCCAGAUAAUUAUUCGGAUUCGGAUACCUGCAUAUCCGAUUCGAAUCCGACAGAUAUACAAGCUUAGUCAAACAAAAGAAGAAGAAAAACAAUGAUAAAAUUCAUUAUUCAUUUUACCUUUACCCAAAGAGUAGAGCAAUCAAAAUUUAUAAGAAGCCAUUUGUGAGGAUUCAUACAAAAUGAAUCAACAUAUUCCAGACCAUCAAGGUAAUGACGGUACUCUGGACAAAUACAAGCACUACCAGCAUAAGCAGCGUCGACAUGGAACCACAUAGCAUUUUCCUUUUUCAACCAUCAAAUAUCACUAAUUAUUCCAAAGUUUUUAUGAUUUAACAAAAAAAUCACAAUAAUAAAUACCUCGGUGAUCUUUCCAAUUUUCACUAAUGGAUCCACAGAAGCAGAAGAUGUGGUGCCAACCUAAAUAAAAUGCAUGAGGACUGAUUAAUUGACAAUAUUCCUGUUGUAAUAUCUAAAUUUAAUGGCCAGUUUUCCUUACUGUAGCACAUAGGAAAAAAGGAAUCAACCCAGCUUCUAUGUCAACAUGUACUGCUUGAUCUAAAUUUAAAGGAUCAAUACCAUAACCAGAACUUGCAUCAGUCUUGAUUAUUCUGAAGUUGUCAUUGUAUAUCCCUGCUAUCUGUUAAUACAAAAUUAUCAUGUCUGAAAUAUGCUAAAAUGCAUAGAAAGAUCUAUAUUUACCUGGCAUGCUUUUUUCAAGGAAGAAUGGACCUGAUCAGAUGAAUAAACAACUAACUUAUCCAUGGAGUUUCUUCCAAUUCUUUCCAAAAUUUUAUCACGAGCAGCCAACAACACAACUAGAAUGGCUUCACUAGCUGUUCCUUGAAUUAUGCCACCUCCAUGUCCUGCAAAAAUCAUCCAUAUGUAAGAAGAAAUCAUCCAUAAUGUCAAUUAUUUAUAUAGAAAUACCUGUGGAAAGAAAUUGGUCAGGGAGAUUUAACAAUUUAGCUAGCCAAUCCAAAACAAUUACUUCAAGUUCAGUUGAAGCAGGAGAAGUUAUCCAGCUUAAUCCAAUAACAUUUAAACCAGAACAGAUCAUUUCUCCAAGAAAACCAGCAAUACUACUAUUCCCUGGAUAAUAUCCAAAGAAGUUGGGGCUUUGCCAAUGAGUUAGUCCUGGUAUUAUCUUUUUCGUAAUAUCUGCAUAUGUAUAUAUUUGUCCACACAUUAAUUUCCAAUUCCAAUAUUUGGGUAAAAAAGACAUGAGAUUAACAAACAUCACCAUCUAAAACAUGUUGAAAAUUUUCAGGCUGUUCUGGAGCAGCAUCAGGGAGAAGAUCUUUUAAGUAAUCCAGCUGAACCAAAGAUUAUUGGUUCAAUUAACGAUUAUGGUUAUUUUGGGAGAAAGAAUAAAAAAAAUACCUCAACUUGACUGAGAACAGGAAAUUUCUCUAUAGAUUUUUAGUAAUCUGCAAUAAAAUCGACCAUCCUAUGACCAUAUUCUCUCAACUGUUUCGAAUCCAUUGGUUUCAAUGUAUCAUUCUCCCUAACAUUCCCUCCAUUCGACAUAGUUUAAUCCUCUGAAAAUGUAUGAAAAAGAUUGAUGUUAUUCACUUCUAGAUUUGUAGAUCUGAACUGAAUACUGUUCCAGAUUUGCACUACCAUCCAAUUAACUACCUACCACCACGUGUUGUCAUGUAUAGUGUAGGGUCAGUCUCCUAUGGGCAGUUGUUCAUCACGUUUUGCAUGACUGGUUUAGUUUAUUAGUUAACACUAAAAUGAGUGACAGUUGGAUAAUAAAUGCUGUAGGAGUUGCAAAUACUGUAGGAGUUGUUUUAAUUUCAAUAAUCCUACUAGUAGUAUAAAUGUUGUAAGAGUUAGUUUAUUGCCAAACCCUGACCAAGUAGGACUCCAGCUGGAUCUUCCCAAGUCCCAACACCAUCCGAGUUCUGCCAAUGUAUAUGCUAAUGCACGGUAUUAUGCUUCUGCACUUGAACGGGAGACCGUUGAUUGCUUCUUUGAGAUCCAAGUUAUUAGAUUACCGCCCAAACUUAUUUGGAUUGUCAAUUCAGAGUAAAUAAGGCUGGAUCACUUGCACUGUUAUGAAAACCAAUUUUCAUUAAAAAAAAUUGAGUUUAGCGUACCACGAUCGUUGUGCCUGUUUUAACCCGUAGAGAGCUAUCUGAAGAAUACAUACUUUGUUAGGAUUUUCCGAAAACUAUAAACCCAAUCGGUUGUUACAUAAACACCGUUUUUCUCAUAUCUCCGUUUAGAAAAGUAUUUCGUACAUCAAUUUGUCAUAAUGUCCAUCCUUGCGAUAUUGCUAAUCCGAGAACACAUCUAACAAUUGCUGGUCGAAUUACGAUGAUAAUCAAUGCCUUCACGUUGAUUGUAACCUUACGCAACCAAUCAUUCCUUAAAUUGAUCGAUCGAUCCAUCAAAUUUUCGUUUUACCUUAUACACCCAUCGACAUCCAAUUAUAUUGGAGUUCGGAGGAUGAUUAGUGAGUGACCAGGUCUUGUUUUCUUUUAAUGCGAUGUAUUCUUCUUGCAUGACUUUAACUCAUUUUGGGUUGGAAAAUGCCUCCUUAUAGGUCUUGGUUGGGUUUGUGAAUAUCGCCAUUUGUUACUUUAGCAAAAAGGCACGCAGGAGAUGGAUGAUUUAUCUUCCAUUUCUUGUUUGGAACAAACUCGUUAUAUUUUAUAUUUGGUCUUUUUAUCCUAUUACUUCGUCGAUUAUCUGUAUUAUUAUUAGAGAAGAUGUUAGUAAAUUCCGAUAAAGUAUUUGUAGUUUGUUCUCUUGUUUGUAUUUUAGGAAUCUCGUCAACCGAUUCUGUUAUCGAAACUGAUGUCGUUGGUACUGGCGAUGAAGCUGUCGGAUCUAUAUUCUGAGAUUGUCUGAUAGAAGAAAACUUCUAUUGAGGCUCGUCAGAGAUCGGAAUACAACACUGAGGAGAUGGCGAUGAGUUUGACCUCACCUAAGAGUUUUUUCCCAACAUAAAACUUUGAUGAUCAUUCAUUCAUUCCAAAGUAAAUAUAUAAUGGGCUUAUUACAACAUAAAUCAAAACUAACUAAAGAUUAAAUAGUACGAUGCCCAUUAUGUUUUUGGCUUUUCCAGGUAUGGUGCCUCCACUAAGUAGUCUUGUAGGUACCUUGGUUGGCGAGUGCUUCUUUUGGCCAACAUGGACUGUCCUUCUGAAGUUUGGUGCCCAUCCUCAUCCUCAAUAACUAACCUAUUUGUUACAUUACGAAUGAUUCCAGAAUAAUUUGUUGUAACAUUACCAUCCUCAGUUGGAUUGACCUUGACCUCAAGGUCAAAUGAUGGAAAUAGUCGAUUCAAAGCAUCCUCAGAUUCCCAUGAUGCUUCCUCCAGUUUUAAACCAUUCCAUUGAAGCAAAAAUUCUUUAAUUUGUUGUCCAUCUAUGUUCUUCACCCUGGUAUCUAUUACUACUGCAUGAACAGCCACAAUGUGAUUGUUGUAAGUUACCGGCCAGUGGUAACUUUCCCGGACUCUCAGGAGUGUUUCUUCUGAGUUUUUUUAAUCUGCUCACAUGAAAUACUGGAUGAAUUCUUGCUUGUGGUGGUAAAUCAAUUUUGAAUGCUACCUGAUUAAUUUGCGCUGAGAUCUGAAAUAGACCGAAAUACCGGGGGACUAAUUUGUGAUUUUGGUGAGUGGUCAUAGAGUCUUAUUUAUAGAUUUGGAGACGAACAAGAACCCAAUCGCCAAUGAUAAAAGUGACAUCUCGACGGUGAUGGUCUUCUUGGUUUUUCAUGUAUUGCCGAACUGUUUCCAAAUUUUUUUAACCAUGGCUAUUAUCUUAGAACGACGUUGUAAGUCUUGGUCCACUUCUAUAAUCUGAGACUGUGGUGGUCUGUAUUCCGGCAUGAUUGGCGCUUCUCUUCCGUAAAGAGUCAUGAAAGAUGGCAUUCCUAUCACAGAAUUAAAGGAUGAAUUAAACCAUAAUUCCGCCCAUGGUAAGCAUUCAAGCCAGCCCUUAGGAUCAUCAUAGAUCAUGGACCUCAAGUACAUAUUGAUGCUCCUGUUCAUCACCUCUGUUUGCCCAUACGAUUGGGGAUGAUAGGUGGUUGACAUACACAAGGAUGUUCCAUUUCGACUAUGAAUUUCUUUACAAAUAUUUCCCGUGAAAACUCGAUGACGAUCGGACACUAUCGUUGUUGGUAUGCCGUGUAGUUUUACUACCAGAUUGACAAAGAGAUCGGCUACUUAAGUUUCUAUCUACAACAACCAUUAUCGUCGAUUUACCAUGCCGAAGAGGAAGAUGGGUUAUGAAAUCCAUCGAUGGUAUUGGUAAUGGUAGCAGAAGUCGUUGCUUGAGAAUCUCACUCUUCAUAUGUUGGCAAGUUUCACAGUUAGUAACAAAUUUUUAAUAUGUUGUCUCAUACCUUUCCACCAGAAAAUAUGGUGAAUCCUCCGAUAUGUGUGAUCCACUCCGGCAUGUCCACCCAAUAUUGAAGAAUGAAAUUCCCAGUAUAUAAUAUUGAUUGAUGGUGAUGCUUCAUCCACAUAUAGUCGAUUGUUAAAAGUUUCUUCGUGGCUGCGACCUCAAGAUAACAGACUUUUAGGGACGGCCAGAAUCUGUCCCUAAUCAUCAAAAGCCGUCGCUAAUUGAUGAUUAGGGACGGAUUCUAGCCAUCUCUAAAAGUCGUCUCGCUGAAUUUUUGGGGAUGGCCUUCAUAUCCGUCUCUAAUAAUUAGGGACAAUACUACCGUCCCUAAUUAGAAGUUAGGGUUAGAUGGGGUUAGGGUAAAGUCAUCCCUAAUUUUUUCCCGUGCCAAUUUUUUUUUGGCGUCCAAAUUUUUAUUGUCGUCCAUAACCCAUCCCUAAUGAUUUUUUAAUUACUUUUUGUCUCAACUAGCCAUCCUUAAGCCAUCUUUAAUUAUUUUUUAAUUACUUCCUGUCUCAACUAGCCGUCCCUAUUAAAUUUUUUUUUACUUCCUGUUUCAACAGGCCGUCGCUAAAUAUAUUUGCCGAAACUUGAAUAGAUGCUCUCUAGGAGCCUUACACAUCCAUUCUUCUAGGAAUAGACAUUCAUUCACAAGCAUUAAAUUUAUAAUACAUUCAAUCUAAAGAAAAAUAGAAAUUCAUUUACAUUCAAAUUUACAAUACAUUUACAUUCAUAAUACAUUCAAUCUAACAUUCAAUAAUAUAACAUUCAAUCUAACAUUCAAAUGAAACAAAAUCAUUCGAAGUAAAUUAAUGGAACUAUUUUUUUAAAAAUAAACCUUGAAGAUCUAAAGGAGGAUUCGAAGGAUCAUUCGGAAGAAUCUUACUAAUUGGAACGAUUGCUUUGCUUGUGUGUUCCCUUUUGAAAAACAACAAAAUGUUUUUGUUUGAUUAACCUAAUGUUUAUACUGAGAAUAUUAGUAAGUAUUAAAUAACUUACUUUCAUAAAAGUGAAAAACUCCAGUAAUUCUUUUUGUUGUUGUUUCAAUGCUUCCAUUUCUUUGUUAACUGUCUCUAAUUUCUUGUUAACGGCCUCUAGCUGUAAU
rnacentral:lncRNA from 1 species